rnacentral:rRNA from 1 species
UACGGAGGGGGCUAGCGUUGUUCGGAAUUACUGGGCGUAAAGCGCACGUAGGCGGCUUUGUAAGUUAGAGGUGAAAGCCCAGGGCUUAACUCUGGAAUUGCCUUUAAGACUGCAUCGCUAGAAUCGUGGAGAGGUGAGUGGAAUUCCGAGUGUAGAGGUGAAAUUCGUAGAUAUUCGGAAGAACACCAGUGGCGAAGGCGGGUCUCUGGGCCGUAACUGACGCUGAGGAGCGAAAGCGUGGGGAGCGAACAGG